GCUGUAGCUCAGUGGAGGAGCAAUUGCUUUGCAUGCAGGUGGUUCUGGGUUCGAUUCCCGACAUCUCCA